GAUGAAGAACGCAGCGAAAUGCGAUAAGUAGUGUGAAUUGCAGAAUUCAGUGAAUCAUCGAAUCUUUGAACGCACAUUGCGCCCCUUGGUAUCCCGAGGGGCAUGUCUGUUCGAGCGUCAUUUCACCACUCAAGCCUGGCUUGGUGUUGGGCGACGUCCUCUUUGGGGACGCGCCUCGAAACGCUCGGCGGCGUGGCACCGGCUUUAAGCGUAGCAGAAUCUUUCGCUUUGGAAGUCGGGGCCCCGUCUGCCGGAAGACCUGCUCGCAAGGUUGACCUCGGAUCAGGCAGGGAUACCCGCUGAACUUAAGCAUAUCAAUAAGCGGAGGA
rnacentral:misc_RNA from 1 species